AGCAGCCGCGGUAAUUCCAGCUCCAAUAGCGUAUAUUAAAGUUGUUGCAGUUAAAAAGCUCGUAGUUGAAUUUCGGGAUUAGUGCGCCGGUCGUGCCUUCGGUAUGUACUGGUGUUACUGGUUCCUACCUUCUGACGAACCGUCAUGUCAUUAAUUUGGUGUGGCGGGGAAUCAGGACUGUUACUUUGAAAAAAUUAGAGUGUUUAAAGCAGGCUCGCGCUUGAAUACAUUAGCAUGGAAUAAUGAAAUAGGACGUUCGAUCCUAUUUUGUUGGUUUCUAGGAUUGACGUAAUGAUUAAUAGGGAUAGUUGGGGGCAUUAGUAUUCAAUUGUCAGAGGUGAAAUUCUUGGAUUUAUUGAAGACUAACUACUGCGAAAGCAUUUGCCAAGGAUGUUUUCAUUAAUCAAGAACGAAAGUUAGGGGAUCGAAGACGAUCAGAUACCGUCGUAGUCUUAACCAUAAACUAUGCCGACUAGGGAUCGGAUGAUGUUAUUUUUAA
rnacentral:rRNA from 1 species